CUCAGAUAGCUGAGAGUGUGCAAUAUUCUUAGACUGCACAGAGUAUAUGGGCACAACUCGAAACCAGAUAUGGUACAGCUAAUAGAACCAAAAUUUUUGAACUUAAAAGAAAACUCUCUCACACUUCUCAAGGACCCUAGAUAUAGCAUCAUAUUUUAACAAACUCAAAGGGUUGUGUGAUGAGUUAGGAGCAGUAUGUACAAAUCAUAGCCAAAGAUGUAUCUGUGCUGCCAAAACUGGCAUCAUACAUGAGGAUGAGGAGAAUAAGGUGUUUCAAUUCCUCAUGGUCCUUAAUGAGAUAUAUAUGGGGGUAAGGAGCAACUUGCUGGUGAUGCAGCCUCCCCCUACCCUCGACAGUAUCUAUAACAUUCUCAUCAAUGAUGAAAAACAAAGACAAGUUCGGUCUAUUUCCCAGUUCAAUCUUGAUUGUAUGUCCUUCAUUGUCAACACAAACAAAAAUUCUACACCUUCUUUUGGAAUGAGUCAAGUUGCAGUGCCCAACUCUUCUCCUCUCAGACAGUAUACCCAAAGAGUUACUUUUGACCAAUCCAGAGGACCUCUCUUCUGUAGAUAUUGCAAGAAGUCUGGGCACUUAAUUGAUAAGUGUUACAAACUUCAUGGAUUUCCUCAGGACCUCUAUUCUGUAGAUAUUGCAAGAAGUCUGGGCACUUAUUUGAUAAGUGUUACAAACUUCAUGGUUUUCCACAAAGCACCAGGCUUAACAAAGGGAAGAGAACUGUUGUUGCCCAUGUAACCACUGGUGCUGAUUUCGCCUCCUUCACCUCUUUUGAUGGAUACACAUCUAAUGUUCCUGGAAAUUCCAUUGAGGGUAACUCUUAUGUCCCAAAUGUGGAUAGACAAGGAUCUGUAAUCCCUGGCUUGAGCAGACAACAUUAUGAUCAACUAAUGACUCUGCUGCAACAGAUUAAGUUGGGGGACUCUACUGCUCAGACCCAUCCUCCUACGUGUGCUGCCAAUUUUACUGGUACUAUGCUAACUGAGAGUCUUGUUUCUGAUUCCAAACUUUGUCUGCUUACUCAUAUUGCUUCUGUUUCCUGGAUAAUAGAUUCAUGGGCUUCUGAUCAUAUGAAAUCUAAUAAAAGCUUACUUGUUAAUAUCACACCCUUAACUGUACCUUAUCUUGUAACCCUUCCUAAUGGAUACAAAGUGAAAGUGACUUCCACAUGCUCUUUUGCAUUAACUCCAUCCAUUACUCUUCAUAAUGUACUGUUUGUUCCCU
rnacentral:lncRNA from 1 species